rnacentral:tRNA from 1 species
AAUAAGAUGCCUGAAAAAAAGGAUUAUUUUGAUAGAAUAAAUUAUGUGUAAUUACACUCUUAUUA